rnacentral:rRNA from 1 species
UACGUAGGGUGCGAGCGUUGUCCGGAUUUACUGGGCGUAAAGAGCGCGCAGGCGGUCGUUCAAGUCGAGUGUGAAAGCCCCCGGCUCAACUGGGGAGGGUCAUUCGAUACUGAUCGACUGGAAGGCAGGAGAGGGAAGCUGAAUUCCCGGUGUAGUGGUGAAAUGCGUAGAUAUCGGGAGGAACACCAGUGGCGAAGGCGGCAUCCUGGACCAUAACUGACGCUGAGGCGCGAAAGCUAGGGGAGCAAACGGG